GAUGUGAACUGAAGCAAGUACAAGAGCUGUGCCUUUCGACUUCAAAAGCUAAAGGUAAGUUAACAUAAUUUAACCUCUGCCUACUUUGGUAAUUCGUCAGCGAUAUUGAAAACAAAAAUGUUUGUAAAAGACCAAGACUUCUGGUUGAAGUUAUUAACUUGUUAGCAAACAAAGCUAGCACACUUGACGUCAGCUAAGACAGCUAACCUAGCACAAUAAUUCAAUUGAAGCCAUGUCGACUGAGCUAACGUCUCUCAUAUGUUUUAAACUAGUGCCAGGUAAUACAAUGUCAGAAAGUGUCCCUAGUAGUCUUGUCUGUAAAAAGUAAGCAAGUUCAGAGGAUUCAUUUAGUGUGAAUGUUGGUGAUAUAAUAGCUAGUAGCUGCAGUUAGCUCUUAGCUAAAUAGCUACUCUAUAGGUUAAGGAUCCCCCACCCUGAGUGAAGCUUCGACUUGAAGUUGAAGAUUUUUUUCUUUCUGAAAGAGUAACAACCCUUUUCUUUAAAUUACAGAUAGAGCAAUUGGACAAGACAACACAGUCACUUCUGGAAGGUAAGUCUAUGAUAGUACAUAUGAUAGAAGAUGGUUAGAUAAAGCCAAAGAUUGUGGCUAGACUGGCUAUGCAUGGUUUCCCUAGAAGUGAAUAGUUAGUUAGCUGGCUGGCAUGGAGUGGCAGUAAGAAAUGUAAUAACAAAAAUAGUAAUAAAAACUUAAAGCUGUGUAAGGGAUAAUGUACAGUGAGGUGGUCAUUAUCGCGGCAUAGCCGAUAUGCUACUACACUUUUCCUUGAAUCUCAGCAAACUGGUGGUUGUCACUGGAGGGUUCUAACACCACUACAUUUGUCAUUUGUACAUGUGACCCAUUACAUUGACUUGCAGCUUACUCAGUGCUCUUAUGUAUCCAUAGUUUCAGGGUCAUCAUAAAUAUUGCACAUUAACUUAUACCACUUUGUUUGCAGCUGCACAGGCCAUUGCCUUGUUGGAGGCGCUCCCAAAAAUGUUCCCUUACCCAACCGCCUCUCCAAGAAAAGUCGGCAAGUGAGGCACUGUACCAUGUUCUUGAGCCAUCUGAGGACCCCAAUGUCUUCUUGCGUAACUGAUGACCUUGCCAAGGGACAUGCUUCUGGAAUCCCUCAUGAUACUGAUGAGAUGCUACUAUGUGUUCCAGUUAACAUAUUCCAAGUGUAUUGCUAGGCUAUUGUCCAUAAUACAAACAGAGGUACUCAAAGAUUUUAUUCACGAGAGUGACAAGACGACAACAUAUAAAAAGGUGCUUGCUGACUGUCAAGCAUUCAUCCAAACCUAGUCUGUCUCUCCCUCUCUCUUUGUCAACCUCCUACUGUAUGUCACUCUUCUGUAUGUCACUCCCCCCCCCCAACUCUUUCUCUAUAUGUCUGGAGGUCAGGACAGCACACAGUAACACGUCAAUGUCAAUGAUUUGUUGAUUGUUUGAUGAAUUCUGACUGUUUGAUGUGUUGCUGAAUUGUCAUCGUUUAUGUAGAUGUCAAUAUACCUUAUGUCUGACAGUUUACUUAAAUCAUUAUGUGUAAUAUGUAAUUAAGUACAUUUAAGCAUUCUGAUGCUUAUUAUUGUUCACUACUCUCAAAUGGCUGUUAUUGGUUUUCUUCAUUAACAGGCUAAUAAAACAGUGAUAAAUAA